AAGUCGUAACAAGGUAACCGUAGGUGAACCUGCGGUUGGAUCAUUAACAAUGGUUUUCAAACCUUUCAUCUGUGCACUGUAUUGUUCUUGGUGUCUCUUUGUUCCACCCUUUACAAGGUGGGCAAGGUCUACUUUGGUAGAAACCGACACCAACAUUUUUAAACCAUGUAUUUUAUCGAGUCUUGAAUUUGUAUUAAAAUGAAAAACUUUUGACAACGGAUCUCUUGGCUCUC
rnacentral:misc_RNA from 1 species